GAGUCGACCAGGUUAAUUCACAACCCGAACGCAGGUAGUGGAGUCGACCAGGUUAAUUCACAACCCGAACACAGGUAGUGAGUCGACCAGGUUAAUUCACAACCUGAACACAGGUAGUGUGAGUCGACCAGGUUAAUUCACAACCUGAACACAGGUAGUGAGUCGACCAGGUUAAUUCACAACCU